AGUGAACGCUGGCGGUAGGCCUAACACAUGCAAGUCGAACGGCAGCACAGUAAGAGCUUGCUCUUACGGGUGGCGAGUGGCGGGCGGGUGAGGAAUACAUCAGAAUCUACUUUUUCGUGGGGGAUAACGUAGGGAAACUUACGCUAAUACCGCAUACGACCUACGGGUGAAAGCAGGGGAUCUUCCGACCUUGCGCGAUUGAAUGAGCCGAUGUCGGAUUAGCUAGUUGGCGGGGUAAAGGCCCACCAAGGCGACGAUCCGUAGCUGGUCUGAGAGGAUGAUCAGCCACACUGGAACUGAGACACGGUCCAGACUCCUACGGGAGGCAGCAGUGGGGAAUAUUGGACAAUGGGCGCAAGCCUGAUCCAGCCAUACCGCGUGGGUGAAGAAGGCCUUCGGGUUGUAAAGCCCUUUUGUUGGGAAAGAAAAGCAGCAGGUUAAUACCCCGCUGUUCUGACGGUACCCAAAGAAUAAGCACCGGCUAACUUCGUG
rnacentral:rRNA from 1 species